UACAGAUUUUGCCGUUCUAUAACCGUUAUUUUCGAAUUUGAAAUGUUUAGCACGGAGGGCAGUUUAGUAACUUCAAUCAACGAUUAUAUAUACAAAACUAUGCGUUAGAUUGUUUCGUCUUUCUCUAAUUCUCUCUACCUGAAGGCUGAAGCGCACAUGUAGGGUUUAGAGCUCUCGUUCUUCAUCCAACGACCCUCUCGAAUCUCCUCCUCUCUGGAUCGAAUCCGGUGGUGGAUCAAUCAGCGGGUGAUUUUAAAUCCGAUCCGCCGCUCUACACGGUUCUCCUCGCCGUUGUGGUGUCGUUUAAUGAACACCCUGUCGCAGUAGUAGUCGUGAUCUAACGCCUCCGAACGCUUCCGAUUACGCUGAAAAUCAGGUAAUUAUUAUCCUGAGUUUUGUGGUUCAAGUUGCGUGGACAUACCAUUUACUGUAAGCUUGUUGCUUAAGUUAAUGGAUGAAGUGGUUAAAAGAAAUUUGAUCGAAGUUUCUGGAAAGGAGAAUGUUAUUGUUUUGCUGCGGAGACAAAAACGUUGGAAGACGUGUUUGGGUAUGAGCCAUGUCGAAUGAAGGUUACGUCUCUGUCACUCUCACAUACACACAAAUGUUACAUAAUACACGGAAAUUCAUAUACAAACCGACAAAAAGAAAACAGAAUACAAACACAUAAACACAAAACGCAUUCAACCACGAUAACAAAGCAGACUACAAAACACACAUACGCAUCGUCAAGCAUAACAAAACUACAAAACACGCAUACAAAACGUCACACACAACCUAGCGGAAAAAAACAGAAUACAAAACACUCAAACACAGCAAAACUCGAACAUACAGUAACUCACAAGUCACAACACAAAACUUUUUACAUACCAAUAACUCAAACACAAACCUAAACAAUAAAGAUGCAAUGCAAAGUCCUAAGAACUUCCAUAUUCAAUAGUGUUUCUCGUAUCAUUUUUCAUAUGAUAUUUGUUUCCCAUGAAUCAAAUAAUUGAGUGGGCAAGCGACUAGCUGAAAGAGGUAAUUUACUCUGCUUAUUUUUGAUCGAUGAAUAUAUCUCCAGUUUUUAGGUAUUGUUAUACUAACUGUUAUCUCGUGAACAGGUUCUUGAGCUGCAGCAAACAAAUUUUUAUAAGCAAUACAGACUCCAAGAGGUCGCAUUUGUAGUCUUUGAUACAUUCUUUCAGUAACUCAUACCACUACCAGGUUUCAAAUUCCACCUCUAAAUCUCGUUUGAAGCCUGAGUUUUGUGUGUGUGUGUGUGGCAGUUAGUUAUUUUCUGGUUACUUUGAAUUUUUUAACUGGCUUUCUUUCAUCCUGCUCUACUUUCCAAGAGAUUAUUCUCCGUAGAUGUGCACGAGAUCAAGGUGAUGUAUCUAUAACCCUGUACAACAUGUUCUGGCACAUAUCUUAAGUUUAUCAUGUUUUAGGUAAAGGACAACAAUUAGAAAUUCCUUUUGUUUCACUAUGAUUAGAUGUCUAGGAAAGAUGGUUCUUCUAUUCUGAUGUUUUUACUUUUGCCUUGGAUCUCUUCUUAUGGUGGUUGCUAGGUAUGUCCUACUGUCUAACCUUGAACAAUGAUCAUUCAUUCACUAAUCUUGCUCGGGGGACUUUUAGGUGACGUCUUUUAUUUAUGAUUUUUGAGCUUGUUAAAUGACAGAGAGAACUCCAAUGAACAAUGGGGAAUAACGGUUUUGAUUGAAGUCUUCAAGCUAUUCUUUAAGAGGGUGAUGAUGCACAACCAAAUUUCAGUCUGAUAUCUAACGUGGAGUGUUGGCCUUGUUUUCAGAACUGAAUCACUUACGAUAGCUUUACCAACCUCUCCAGAUAAGUAAGAAACUUCUAACACUUUAUAGAUUCAAGAGUGGGCUAGUGUAAUGUUUCGAGAAUUCUGACUUGGAUGAAUUUGUGGAUGUAAGUCAAGGUAAGUGUCUUUGCGUUUCUUUCUUUUCUUAUAUAUAUUGUUUCUGAAAAUAUAUAUUAUCAGAUCAAGCCAGUUAUGUUCAUAAGAACAAGAAUGCCGCCAUACGCUUUUAGCAGCCAAAAGCAAAUUACAAGUCAUGUGAAAACUGAGUGUCUAAUUACUUUGUAUUUUGCAGAUCGACAUAACUUACUGCUGCUGGAUAUAUAAAGGAAACAUUGACAAGAUUUGACCAAACUCUCAGAAAGAGCUACAUCACUUAAAGAUGCAACUGGCUAGGAAUCAAUUUUGUGUAUGUCGUCCACUUGGGAGAGCCAAUCAUUUUUCUUAUUACUUCUUUUAAAGAUGUUCAGAUUUUUGAGUUUCAGAAGCUGUGAAGGCAAAUCAUCAGUCCAGCAGAACCACUAAGAGUUGGGUGAUGAAAUCUCUGUCUCUCUUCUCAUGUAUAAAACUACUUACACCAACUCACACAAACAAAACAACAACAAAAAUCAAAACAUCACGAACACUCAACAAAUCACAAAAACUAACACAACAAAUACCGAACUAAAAGAAUUUCACAAACACUCAACAAAAUCACAAAAACUAACAUAGUAAAUACAGAAAUAAGAAACAAUAAAUCAAAUUGUAAUAAAGAAAACUUAGACACACACUUAAAUAAUCUCAAAAUAAAAGCUACACCAUGCCACGAAAUAAACAACAAAACUCGACAAACAAAAACGAGACACGAACAAAAAAAAACAACUUCACAAUCACACCACAAAACAAGAAUUAUCAUGGGCAUUUUUUUUCCUGUACGAAAGACUUGUAUACUUCUUUUCUUAUUAUGUUGAAUGCUUCUUUUUUACUUACUUGAGGUUUGUUGGAUUUAAAAAGCUUGAGUUUAAUAUCGUUUAAACAUUGUGUAAAAAAUAAUUAAUGCACGAUUUUUAAGGAUAUCUAUCGGUUCAUUUUUAUAUCAAUUUUAUUUGUUUAUUUUUAAAUUCAGUGCAACUAUCAUGUAAAUGAGAUUAUUAAUGAAAUGAUACUAGAUUGUUGUGCGCUUCGCGCGGAUUA